rnacentral:rRNA from 1 species
GAUUGAACGCUGGCGGCAGGCCUAACACAUGCAAGUCGAACGGUAACAGGAAGAAGCUUGCUUCUUUGCUGACGAGUGGCGGACGGGUGAGUAAUGUCUGGGAAACUGCCUAAUGGAGGGGGAUAACUACUGGAAACGGUAGCUAAUACCGCAUAACGUCGCAAGACCAAAGAGGGGGACCUUCGGGCCUCUUGCCAUCGGAUGUGCCCAGAUGGGAUUAGCUAGUAGGUGGGGUAACGGCUCACCUAGGCGACGAUCCCUAGCUGGUCUGAGAGGAUGACCAGCCACACUGGAACUGAGACACGGUCCAGACUCCUACGGGAGGCAGCAGUGGGGAAUAUUGCACAAUGGGCGCAAGCCUGAUGCAGCCAUGCCGCGUGUAUGAAGAAGGCCUUCGGGUUGUAAAGUACUUUCAGCGGGGAGGAAGGGAGUAAAGUUAAUACCUUUGCUCAUUGACGUUACCCGCAGAAGAAGCACCGGCUA